GAUGAACGCUAGCUACAGGCUUAACACAUGCAAGUCGAGGGGAAACGGCAUUGAGUGCUUGCACUCUUUGGACGUCGACCGGCGCACGGGUGAGUAACGCGUAUCCAACCUUCCCAUUACUGUGGGAUAACCUGCCGAAAGGCUGACUAAUACCGCAUAGUCUUCGAUGACGGCAUCAGAUUUGAAGUAAAGAUUUAUCGGUAAUGGAUGGGGAUGCGUCUGAUUAGCUUGUUGGCGGGGUAACGGCCCACCAAGGCUACGAUCAGUAGGGGUUCUGAGAGGAAGGUCCCCCACAUUGGAACUGAGACACGGUCCAAACUCCUACGGGAGGCAGCAGUGGGGAAUAUUGGCCAAUGGACGGAAGUCUGAACCAGCCAAGUAGCGUGCAGGAUGACGGCCCUAUGGGUUGUAAACUGCUUUUGUAUGGGGAUAAAGUUAGGGACGUGUCCCUAUUUGCAGGUACCAUACGAAUAAGGACCGGCUAAUUCCGUG
rnacentral:rRNA from 1 species